UAACAUUUGAGUCUGUAGACCGAGUAAAGCAGAUUGUCCUCCCCAGUGAGGGUGGGCCACAUCUAAUCUGUUGAAGGCCUAGACAGAACAGAAGGUUGAGUAAGGGAGAAUUUGCUCUCUGCCUGCCUAUCUUGGGACUUCUCAGCCUCCAUAAUCAUAUUGGACUCUGGCACUUUCCCCUGAGGCAGGCAAACAUCCAACUCCAGUUAUGGGGACUGGAGACCAUGGGAGCAGGGCCCGAAGAGAAUUGGCCUCCCCCUGCGUGGGAGAUGGAAAACACGCCCGCGACGUUUUGCUGCUCCUUCCAUCCGGAGCCAGUCUGUUCCUCACCCCUCAAAGCUGGGCUGGCCCCGUGACUGCGCUGACCUACGGACUGUGAUGGAAGGUGGCAUGAUACAAGUGGCAGAGCCCAGGCCUUCAUCCUCUCAGAACCCUGAGCCACCGUGCCGGGAAGGAGCCAGGGAUGCAGGGCCACGUGAGAGAGAGGCUUGGCGCCCAGCCAUUGCCGCCACCCCAGCUGAGCCCAGCAUCCAGUGAACGCAGUCACCUGAGCGAACCCAGACAAGACCAGUGGAAGGACUGCCCGGCCAACCCGCGGAACUGGG
rnacentral:lncRNA from 1 species